GAAGAAACAAAAUAGUGACAUUUUCAACACCAAGUGGUAUAUAGCAAUAUGGCUUUAAACUUGACAUUUACAAUAUUGCCAGGGAACUCUUAAAUCUGAAGCAUUUUUAAAAUUUCUUCCUCAGUAUGCAGACAAAGUUCUGCAAGGCAUUCACAUUGUUGUGGGCCAGUUUGGACCGUUUCCAGCCUAUUUGCAAUAGGAGGGGAAACCCUGAUAUUUUUUGGACGCAUCUAGGGAGCGGCUGACUGCUCCCUAGUGUUCGCGAACGGCUGCCAGAAAAGAAAAAGAUUUGGUCCUCACCGUUCCAGAAAAGGAAAGUGCUCCACGAGUAGCAACAUAUGCGUUCUAACCCAAUAAACCACGCGUCGUACGCGGCCUCCAAGCCAUCACGUGCCCUCCCAUGCCCUCCUGGCCACCAACUUCUUCUCCCCAUGCCCUACUUGCUCCCACCUUCCUUCCCAUUAAACUAGGGGUUUUCAGGUCUGGAUCUCCAUCGCCAGAGCUGCCAUGGCAGAUGAAUCAAUGUGUAAUAACAAUUGCUACAAAAAAGAAAGAAAGAGCGAGCACAAACAUAUCAGAAAGUACCCCACAGAACCAAAAUAGGGUGAAAAAAAGAAGUGAUCACUUCUGCCUCCUGUUCAGAUCCUCCCCCUCCUUAACUUUCCCUUUCCCCUCUCACCAAAUUUCUCCUUGCAAAAAUAACUUCUUCAUAGUUGAAGAGAGCAUAAACAGAGAUAAAAAAAUAGGGAGAUCUGGUACAUGUGCAACUGAUUUUCAUGCAACUUCAUCAUGGGACUAGCCAACUUUUGCAACAAUGUGUGCAAAAAAACACAGAAAAUGUGCCAACAUAUAGUAGAGAGGACAUAGAGAGUCUUAUUUCACACAUAAUUCAGAAGAACCGAUGUAAAUGUAGCAAAAAAAGAAAAGAAAAGAAAAGUAUAUUGUAGGUACUAUGAAAACAUAACCACCAACUAGACAAGAAUCUGGUUUGCAUUUGUUUUUUCCUUUGAUCUUUCCACACACUAGUAUACAUGACUUUGUAGCUUAGAAUCGUGAGCAAAAAUCUACAGCAGCUCAUCCACCCCCAUACCCUAUAAAACCUGCAUAUGAUACAAAAAAGAAUCCUGGGAAGAAAUGAACCAACUCUCGCUUGUGUUUGUGCAACUUAAAGUACAAGUGUGCAAAUUGACAACACUUCUAUAUCCAUCUACUUGUGGUGUUUGGAUUUCAGUAGUUAGCAUCUUCAACUCAUAUAGAAGUAGAAGAUGCCAACUCAUAUAAUUUCAUAUUCAUUUUGGUUUUAGCUAAACUUCUGUAUGCAGAAUUCCAAAAACACUUUAUGCUGGUUGUUGUACAACUUCAUCAUCUAUUUUGCACAAUUGUAAGUACUCCUGGAUGCAAUUCAUGUUGCAGGUUUCUACAACUAUGUAAUGAAUUUUGAACUGAUGAACAUGAAUUUAGCAUGUCUGAACACAAAAUGAAAAAUAUUGAAUUUUAAAAGAUUAUAAUCUACCAAAUAAGUAGUGCAACUACAUUCAAGUGCAUCUGGAAACCUAGAAAAUCAUAUUCAUGUGAACACAUGAGGAUGCCAACUACAAAAUGGUUCUUGUGCAACUAAAGAAGUUGAAGAUGCCAACUCAUGUGGCAUUGCCGUGCAACUAUUAAAAAAGGUUGGGGAUGCCAACUAUCGAUUGGUUCUUGUGCAACUAAAAUUGUUGUGGAUGCCAACUCAUGUGAUAUUGUUGUGGGACUAUUUAAAAAGUUGAGACUGCCAACUCCCAAAUGGUUCUGGUGCAUCUAUGAAAGUCUAGGGUGCCAACUCGUACGAUAUUGUUGUGCAACUAUUUGAAAAGUUGAGGAUACCAACUCCUAACUCAUUCUUGUGCAACUAUAAAAGUUCAGGAUGCCAACCCAACACCUAGCUGGUUCUUGUGCAACUGUGUAAAAUACCACAUCCUAGGUUUCUUUGUGUAGAAAAAAAUAAAAGAAAAAAGCCUAAUGCCAUUUCAUGUUACCUCAGCAGCUACUUCAGUCGAUGUGCCGGCUCCAUCUACAACUCGAACCUGCGUGGUCGCCUUCCGUUUACACCAUUUCACAAAGCGGAAUUGGUAAGCAACCUAAAGGAUGCAUGGAAAAAGUUACUUAUCUCUGUGUGUGUGUAUGUGUGUGUGUGUGCGCGCGCGCAAAAAAGUGACAUGCACCCACACUGGUUGCUCGAUACUUGCCUCAUCAUCCUCUGCCACCCCGUCGAUAUCAACACGACGCGUCUGCCGCUCGAUGGGUCGUUUCGAGUUCUACCUAAAAGAAUGGUUUGCAGAUCCCUGCAUAGAACAAACAAAACCCAGAACAUGGUCAGGAAAACCCUCCAAAAAAUAGUUAUUAUAAUUGCAAAACAAAACUUCUACAAGGAUAAAUGAAAAACGAUGAAAAAGCAAACAUACCUCUCCUUCACUAGGAGCCGCAUCU
rnacentral:lncRNA from 1 species